rnacentral:rRNA from 1 species
AACGCUAGCGGCAGGCUUAAUACAUGCAAGUCGUGGGGCAGCAUGAAGUAGCAAUACUUUGAUGGCGACCGGCAAACGGGUGCGGAACACGUACACAACCUUCCUUUUAGUGGGGAAUAGCCCAGAGAAAUUUGGAUUAAUACCCCGUAACAUAGCGAUGUGGCAUCACAUUGCUAUUAUAGCUUCGGCGCUAGAUGAUGGGUGUGCGUAUGAUUAGAUAGUUGGCGAGGUAACGGCUCACCAAGUCUACGAUCAUUAGCUGAUGUGAGAGCAUGAUCAGCCACACGGGCACUGAGACACGGACCAGACUCCUACGGGAGGCAGCAGUGAGGAAUAUUGGUCAAUGGGCGAGAGCCUGAACCAGCCAAGUCGCGUGAAGGAAGAAUGUCCUAUGGAUUGUAAACUUCUUUUUAGGGGAAUAAAGUGCGGUACGUGUACCGUUUUGUAUGUACCCUACGAAUAAGGAUCGGCUAACUCCGUG